rnacentral:rRNA from 1 species
UACGUAGGGGGCAAGCGUUGUCCGGAAUCAUUGGGCGUAAAGCGCGCGUAGGCGGCCCGGUAAGUCCGCUCUGAAAGUCCAGGGCUCAACCCUGGAAAGCGGGUGGAUACUGCCGGGCUAGAGUCCGGAAGAGGCGAGUGGAAUUCCUGGUGUAGCGGUGGAAUGCGCAGAUAUCAGGAGGAACACCGAUAGCGGAGGCAGCUCGCUGGGACGGUACUGACGCUGAGGCGCGAAAGCUAGGGGAGCAAACGGG